rnacentral:rRNA from 1 species
GACAGAGGGUGCAAACGUUGUUCGGAAUUACUGGGCGUAAAGCGCGUGUAGGCUGCUUUGCAAGUCAGCUGUGAAAGCCCCGGGCUCAACCUGGGAAUUGCGGUUGAAACUGGCGAACUAGAAUCUGGCAGAGGGGGGUGGAAUUCCACGUGUAGCAGUGAAAUGCGUAGAGAUGUGGAGGAACACCGAUGGCGAAGGCAGCCCCCUGGGCUGAGAUUGACGCUCAGGCACGAAAGCGUGGGGAGCAAACAGG